rnacentral:misc_RNA from 1 species
UAAAUGUAUAACUCUUUAUUGUCUUUGGUUCAGUUAUUUUUAUCCAUAUAAAAAUAUCACAACCAAAGCUACAACUAGUGCAUGAUCUACAGAUCCGGGAAAUAUAGUUAGUCGAAAUCUACUCCUUCCAACCAAAAUCUGGUGAAGCUUGUACAUGAGACUCGUCUGGGCUACAAUGGAAUUGCCUCCAUAGAUGGUGCAGGAUCUCUGGAAGGAGCAACCUUUCACCUUGAAGUCAGAGGUAGAUUCUGCUGAAUUUUCUCUUACAAGAAAGGCCUCUAUCUCACUUCUACUAAACUUGUUCAAUGUUCUUUGCACUCUGAAUAUCAUUUUCUUCUCCCCUUCUUCACCUUCCUUAAAAACAUG